GCAGCAGCAGCAGCAGCCGAAGAGCGGCAGGGUUGCUGCUGCACCCAUCUGCGUCUCCUACGUAGUCGCCUGCUGGCCAUGUACGCACUGCCUCCUGGCGCAAGUGGUGGUCACUGUUGAUGUUUCUGCUGCUAUACAAUGGAUCGCAUCGCACAUAAUCCAAACAAAAAAUUGCCUGUUAUUAAAUAUCUAAUGAUUCGAUUCAUUCAGUUUUAAGCGAGGUUGACAUUUUUAGCAUUGGAGAAUUAGUCUGCUUAAUAUAUACAUAAAAAGUAUAAGAAAAAUCUUUAACAAUC